rfam:Actinomyces johnsonii F0510 genomic scaffold Scaffold348, whole genome shotgun sequence.
CAUCGGCACCUUUCACGACGGAUCGUCCGGCACGUACCUGCCGGUGAAGGGAAGCACCA